GUUAGUGUUUUUUGUUGUGUUUGUUUAUGUGUGUGUCGUGGAGGAGUGAUCUGUGCCUGUCUAUGUGGCUGUAUGAUGAACCAGGCUGUUGCCAUGGUGACGGUGGUGGUGGGCAUGACACAGAUGCGGGAGGUGGAGUUUGUGCCCAAUGGAGACAUGCACCUGGACAAAUUGUGUUGGUCAUUGGUCAGACUGGAGUUUACAUGUGUACCUCCUUCACCAUCAUUGGUGGACACUUCACCAUGAGUGAUGCUUGAG